CUUUACGACACAAUUAGCAUCUCCCUCCAAAAUCACGUUUCACGAAAAUCCUUAUGAAAAAUCUCCCUCCAAAAUCAAUUAAUUCCCUCCAAAAUCUCAUUCACAUUCAAGUUUCACGUAGAAGACAUGCAGGAUUUCCUUUCUUUGGGGCAGGUACAUUUGCAGGAUCUGCAAAAAACGCUUAUCGUUUGCUGGUGGGCAGCUUUGACUUUCAUCUCUAUGGUGGCAUCCGUUGCUUAUUAUUUGUCCAUUUGAUGGCGGAUACGGGUGGAUGGGAGAAACAUGAGAAUGAAGGGCUGGCUGUGACAUCUUUAGAGAAUGAGGAUCGCAGAUGUGCUGGUCAGUUUGAAAAGCUUUAACAGAAAUUCCGGCAGAGGCGUCGGAAUUGGCCGCCGGAGGUCGCUAUACGGUCGAUAUGUGGUCGAUAAGCGCCAACAGAUGAAGGAAGCAGCAAACAAGAAGACUACCUAAAGACCAAAUGCAGCUGCUUAGCAAUAUCAUAGCACAAUUAAAACGGAGUGGUCGUUAGCUCUUCAUUUAAGUGAUCUUUUUGUCAUUUCAUUGAGAAAGAUUCACUAAAUCUUUGUUCUUGUUAUACACUCUGUUGGUAGCCUUGUUUGAAUAUAUUUUUUUUAAUGGGUCAAGCGGGUAAGAUAAAAAAAUAGAUUAAGGCUUGGCAAA